rnacentral:rRNA from 1 species
CGGAGGGUGCAAGCGUUGUCCGGAUUUAUUGGGUUUAAAGGGUGCGUAGGCGGUCUUUUAAGUCAGUGGUGAAAUCCUGCAGCUCAACUGUAGAACAGCCAUUGAUACUGAAAGACUUGAGUACAGACGAGGUAGGCGGGAUUUAUGGUGUAGCGGUGAAAUGCAUAGAUACCAUAAAGAACCCCUAUUGCGAAGGCAGCUUACUAGGCUGUAACUGACGCUGAGGCACGAAAGCGUGGGGAUCAAACAGGAUUAGAUACCCUGGUAGUCCACGCCGUAAACGAUGAUUACUCGAUGUUCGCGAUAUACAGUGAGCGUCCAAGCGAAAGCGUUAAGUAAUCCACCUGGGAAGUACGAUCGCAAGAUUG